rnacentral:lncRNA from 1 species
GAGCUUUCAAGUUAAACUUAUCUUUCCGAUAUUGAUUUUCAUCGAAUGAAAGAUUUUAGAACCGAUGUGAUUUCUACGUAAGCACUAAUUCACCCCUUGUCUUAGUGCCGACUUGGUCCUAACACUUUCAAGUUAAAUUCUUUCUGAUAUGAUUUCAUCAAAAAAAAAAAUUUUAAACUAUCAUUUUUAUCGUAAGCAUUAAUUCACCCCCUGUCCCC